GACGAACUGUCCUAACGUUGUUCGGAAUCACUGGGCUUAAAGGGCGCGUAGGCGGUCCGACAAGUCAGGGGUGAAAUCCUGCAGCUUAACUGCAGAAGUGCCUUCGAUACUGGGAGUCUCGAGUCCGGGAGAGGUGAGUGGAACUGCGAGUGUAGAGGUGAAAUUCGUAGAUAUUCGCAAGAACACCAGUGGCGAAGGCGGCUCACUGGCCCGGUACUGACGCUGAGGUGCGAAAGCGUGGGGAGCAAACAGG
rnacentral:rRNA from 1 species